UGGCCGCCAUGAGGAAAGCUGCUGCC
rnacentral:piRNA from 1 species